rnacentral:rRNA from 1 species
AUUGAACGCUGGCGGCAGGCCUAACACAUGCAAGUCGAGCGAGCGGCGGACGGGUGAGUAAUGUCUGGGAAACUGCCUGAUGGAGGGGGAUAACUACUGGAAACGGUAGCUAAUACCGCAUACCAUCAGAUGUGCCCAGAUGGGAUUAGCUAGUAGGUGGGGUAACGGCUCACCUAGGCGACGAUCCCUAGCUGGUCUGAGAGGAUGACCGGCCACCCUGGAACUUGGACAGGGUCCAAAUUCCUACGGGAGGCAGCAGUGGGGAAUAUUUCACAAUGGGCGCAAGCCUGAGGGAGCCAUGCCGCGUGUGUGAAGAAGGCUUUCGGGUUGUAAAGCACUUUCAGCGGGGAGGCGUUACCCGCAUAAGAAGCACCGGCUAACUCCGUGCCAGCCGCCGCGGUAAUUC